rnacentral:tRNA from 1 species
UCGGGGAUCGUCUAAUGGUAGGACAGAGGCCUUUGAAGCCUUUUAUCGGGGUUCGAAUCCCUGUCCCCGAG